CCUACGGGUGGCUGCAGUGGGGAAUAUUGCACAAUGGGGGAAACCCUGAUGCAGCAACGCCGCGUGGGUGAAGGAGCGUUUCGGCGCGUAAAGCCCUGUCAGCGGGGAAGAAGAAAGACGGUACCCGACCAAGAAGCCCCGGCUCACUACGUGCCAGCAGCCGCGGUAAUACGUAGGGGGCGCGCGUUAUCCGGAAUUACUGGGUGUAAAGGGAGCGUAGACGGCGAGGUAAGCCUGAAGUGGAAGGCCGCGGCGCAAGCGCGGAACUGCUUUUGGACCUGUGUUGCUGGAGUAUGGGAGGGGUAAGCGGAAUUAGUGGUGUAGCGGUGAAAUGCGUAGAUAUCAGGAGGAACACCGAUGGCGAAGGCGGCUUACUGGACCAUAACUGACGUUGAGGCUCGAAAGCGUGGGGAGCGAACAGGAUUAGAUACCCGUGUAGUC
rnacentral:rRNA from 1 species